UACGUAGGGUGCAAGCGUUGUCCGGAAUUAUUGGGCGUAAAGAGCUCGUAGGCGGUGUGUCGCGUCGGCCGUGAAAACCUGGGGCUUAACCCUGAGCUUGCGGUCGAUACGGGCAUGACUGGAGUUCGGUAGGGGAGACUGGAAUUCCUGGUGUAGCGGUGAAAUGCGCAGAUAUCAGGAGGAACACCGGUGGCGAAGGCGGGUCUCUGGGCCGAUACUGACGCUGAGGAGCGAAAGCGUGGGGAGCGAACAGG
rnacentral:rRNA from 1 species